rnacentral:rRNA from 1 species
GAGUUUGAUCAUGGCUCAGGAUGAACGCUGGCGGCGUGCCUAACACAUGCAAGUCGAACGAAGCAUAUAGAAGGAAGUUUUCGGAUGGAAUUUUAUAUGACUUAGUGCCGGACGGGUGAGUAACGCGUGGAUAAUCUGCCUUACACAGCGGGAUAACAAAUGGAAACAGUUGCUAAUACCGCAUAAGCACACAGUAUCGCAUGAUACAGGGUGAAAAGAUUUAUCGGUGUAAGAUGAGUCCGCGUCCCAUUAGCUAGUUGGUGAGGUAAAAGCUUACCAAGGCGACGAUGGGUAGCCGGCCUGAGAGGGUGAACGGCCACAUUGGGACUGAGACACGGCCCAGACUCCUACGGGAGGCAGCAGUGGGGGAUAUUGCACAAUGGGCGAAAGCCUGAUGCAGCGACGCCGCGUGAAGGAAGAAGUAUUUCGGUAU